UUAAAAUUGGAUAAGCUUUAGCACAAUAUACGCGCAUUGGAGUUAACAUCAAGAACAUAAUUAUGAAACCAACAUUUUCAGAAAUCGUGAGGAAUUUAUACGGAGCUAUUAUUUGCUAAUUGGAAGAUGAAUUUAUUUGCUGGUUUAUUGAAAGUGUUUCGACAACUGACUUAAACGUCGACCGACAUUCUACAAAUGAUCGGGAAUGAAUGCCCUGAACGUGAUCGAAAACGAUUCCUUAGACAAAUGGCUUCUUUUAGAUUGGAUGAUGCGAGCACUAGUCUCACACUGAAUUUCUGACUUUGUGAUCACCUGAGGCAUUUUCUGGUUGGAUGUGAUCCUAAGUUGUUGUCAUAGAGUUACCAAAAUCAAAGGUAGAUGGCAAGACCGAUGAGGCAAGAUGCUAGAGACACAGCAUUAGAAUGCCUUCGGUAUCGUAGUUGUCUCCCUCUACUGCUGCAACAGAAAGUUCUGCAGUUCAAGGAAAGGCAGGUAUUGAUCGCAGUCACAAAUGCCAUUUGUUACGGGGGCAGUUACAAAUGUCAUUUGUUCCGGGGGGGGUAUUGUAUUGCCAUUGAACUAUUCAGCUAGCGAGUUAGUAACGCAUUUACAUUAUUUCAACCAAAAAGCUGGGUGUCUUGCUUGAGUUCAGACUAUCGCAUUUAAAAUCUUUGAUAAACUAAUGUGUGUCUACAUUACAAAGUAGUUGAUAUCUAGGCUAUUUCCAUGCGGUACUCAUUUCUUUAUGCACUAGGAUGUAAAACAAAGUGCAAUCUACCUUGUGUAGCAUAAUAAUUUCCAGUUAGAGGCUGAGUUCAGUGUUUUAAAGCGUGCAUUAAUCACUGCUGUACUAAAGAGUUCCAACAAAUAAGCUUAGUUUACUCAAGUUGCAGAAACGGAUAGAAAAGGGAAUAUGUGGAAGCCGACUACUUACAUUCCUUUUAAUGAUUGACAGAUGGGUAGGUAUGCUGAUGACACAACAUCGGGCUGUGACAAUCCGAAGGAUCUCUAAAACUGGUGUCGGAUAAUUUGAUAUUCAUUUUUAUAAUUAGAUUUCAAACAACAUGUCAUUUUCAUAUUUUAAUUUACAUUUACACGAUUCUUUGUUAUUGUUAUUGUGGCAGGCGAAUGUUUUCUUCCAGAUAGGUUGAUACGUGCAACCGUCCAUUACUGAAUCUCUGAACUUUAGAUCACACGAGACAUUUUCUGGUAGGAUGUUGUUUUAAGUUGCCCGGACGUCAAUGACCAGAGGUACAAGUGCCCAAAAAUGUUUUUUCAAGUGACAGAGACGGAGUGGUAUGCCGAAAAAAGUAUAUCGGAAUGCCACAAGCCUGGUAUCUGCUUUGGUCAAAUGGCAGUUGUUUCCCUUGGGUUGCUGUUAAACUAGUGAGCUACAGUUUGAGAAAAGCAGGCAAAUACAAAUUGACGUACUUCGCAGAGAUCUGUACUUCCUGACAGGAUGUGUUCCACAGUUAUCCGGUAUUGACAAGAAUAAAAGAUAUGGCUUUGUAACACAUUAGGGACACAUAAUACCUUUUCAAUUUCAAAAUAAUAAUGACAGUCUAUACCACUGUUUUACAAUAUAAGCAAACGUUUACAAAAUUGACUGCUUAUACUGUUUUUGUUCUAAACACGCAAUACACCCAAUAAUAAGCAUGUCAUUUCAUCUUCAAAUCUCAAAU